UACAGAGGUCUCGAGCGUUGUUCGGAUUCAUUGGGCGUAAAGGGUGCGUAGGUGGCGCUGUAAGUCGGGUGUGAAAUCCUGAGGCUUAACCUCGAAACUGCAUUCGAUACUGCGGUGCUUGAGGACUGGAGAGGAGACUGGAAUUCAUGGUGUAGCAGUGAAAUGCGUAGAGAUCAUGAGGAAGACCAGUGGCGAAGGCGGGUCUCUGGACAGUUCCUGACACUGAGACACGAAGGCCAGGGGAGCGAACGGG
rnacentral:rRNA from 1 species